rnacentral:pre_miRNA from 10 species
CGACCAUGUUAAUGAUGAUGAUGUUAAUGAUGAUGAUGGUUUGCCAUUUAAAAUAUGCAAAUCAUCAUCAUCAUCAUCAUCAUAAUCAUCAUCA